rnacentral:snoRNA from 1 species
AACCAAAACUUUUUGUCAGGGUCCCUUCUCGUUUACAUCGUGAAACAGUUCCACGAAGGGGCCUGUUACGGUUUUGGGAGAGCAACGUUGCCCGUGUGCUGCUCAACAUCUCGUUCUGAGAUUUGGACAGUAUCAAGCAUAACUUUCGUUUUGAAAGUAUAGCUCUACGGGUGAAAAAUGUUCUCAGCAAUCGAGCUUUGCAAAUGGGAGUAUCACUCCUGAUUCUUGUGCGAAUUGCUCCGCUUAGAGAACAUUUACAUCA